GGUAGGGGCCGCGAGGGAGGC
rnacentral:misc_RNA from 1 species